AGCUCCUUCUGUGAGGUCAUAAGUGUUGUUGUGACAGCACUUGCUUCUUAGAUAUUCCUUCAGUACCUCUAGGGCUUACUAAUUGGCCUUUAAUUCAGAGUGAACAGCCAUUUUUGAGGGAGAAAAGGAAGAUGAAGAGAUCAGAGAUGGAAAGAAGGAAGAUGCCCUUCUGUCUUGGUGUUAAAAAAGGAAGAAAUACGUGGUCCAUUGGAGAGCUAAAUUAGUCCUGGAUUUUUAGGUGCUGAAGACAAAGAGAAGACACACAGAAGGACUGAGACAGAGGGUCUGAACUGGAAGGACAGAGACAGAUGGACAGAGCAGGAGAGGGGAUGACCUGAAAAGACCAGUUUGAGAUAAGGAGAACAAAGGACCAUUUUCUUCUUGACAAAAAGAAUAAGGCUAUGAGAUCUCAGCAAAACAACUGUGCCCUGCCCAUCACUUGGCUUUGGAAUAAAAAAAAUAAUGAUAUAAACUCUUUGACUUCCAGGAAUGAUAUGAACAGGAACUGUAAGAGCAGGAAGUCCACAUGCUUCUGAGAGGACCCCAGCUCCUAAUUCCCAUUUGUAGAUGGCUCAGAUCAAGACAAUCUCUUCAUGAAACAACACAACACCUACUAAGGACUCAGAGAGCUUUCCCAAGGACCUUUUUUGUACCAAGACAGAAGGUCAGCUUUCUUCUCCCCAUCUCUGAUAUCUUCAUCCUAUUUGUCCUCCCUCCCAAAUGGCUCUUUACACUGAAUUAUAGGCCAAUUAGUAAACCAUAGAUAUAUGGAAUGAAUAUCUGAGAGGCAGUUGCUGUCAGGACAACACUUGUGACAACACAGAAGAAGAUAGGGCUCUCAAGGAUACAAGAGAUAUAUUACGGGGGUACUAAGGAUGAUGUCACUGAGAACUGCCAUGGACUACCUGCUAAACAGAUUUCCUUACAUUGACCAGAUUUGACGGUGCCCUUUCUAGGAGAGUCUCCUAUGACACAGUGGAAACCUUUUGUACUCCAUCUUUCUAACGCUAGAGACUUCUCUUUGCUGCAUUAGUAUUUACAUGGUCUGAAUGGACAAAAUUAAUCGGGACUUGGCAUGGGUAGAAAAGAUCUAGGAAGAUGGAGUGGAGGAGAUUCUUCUUGAUAAUAAUUUUGCUCCCUGGUCCAUUCCUGUGACAUACAGUUCAAUUUCCUAGUUUUUCUCUGUUUCCCAAAGGCCAUUAUUUUCCAUACAGACCUUUAAUUGAGUGAAUAUUGUAUUUCAUUUUCUAAUUCUUCAUUCCUAGAUAGGGCACUUUGUAUUCAUUCCUGAAAGUGUACUCAAAAAUUCUCUUUUACAGUUGCAUUUUUGUAAUGAUUUUGGCAAAAAAGAGGGCCGAAGUAUAGAGUGCAGAGAACAGUGUAAAUAUUUUGUACCUACUUCAAAUGAUAAACUCCAAAUUCUUAUUUUAUCCAAAAAUCAUCAUACAUCAGUAAAUCAAAGACAACAUGUACUAUACAAUUCGUUUCUCUAUUCCCAUUUGAUAUCAUUUCUGCAAUAUCUUCCUUCUUGUGUUCCCAUGGCCACACUUGAGGUUUUUGGAUAUUUUACAAUGAUUCUUUUUUCAGGCCAAACAUAAGACUUAGGUGGAUGGGCAGGGAAAGAAAUGUUUUGAGUUCAACUGAAACCUCAAUUUCAAUAAGUUCAUAAUGACAGGAGGGACCUUUGCAUCUGUAGAUUCUACAUUCUUGUUCUAGAUGCGCAGAAUCAAUGGUAAAUUCCAUCUAACCUCACAUAGGAGCCAAUAUAUAUAUGAUAGAUAGAUAGAUAGAUAGAUAGAUAGAUAGAUAGAUAGAUAGAUAGAUAGAUAGAUAGAUAGAUCUGCCACCAAAAUAAGAUAAGAUUGUUGAAGUUAAGAAGUGCAUUCUGCCAGGAAGAGGAUAUAGACAUUUCCUGAGAAACACAGCUAGAAUAUGUCAAUUACAUAAGUGAAUGCUUGUGGCAAACCAGUUACUUGUAAAUGGAACUCUUGUUGAUAACUUUUGAGAAAGGAUUACAAGAGGUAAAGGGGUUUGCAAACCCAUAAGAAAAACAAUGUCAAUGAACCAGAGCUUUCUAGUACUAGACCAAUAUUCAACGAAUGUACAUGGACAUACCUAUGGCUCCCACUGCAUAUUUAGUACCAGAUGGCCUUCUUGGGAACCAACAGAAGUAGAAGCUCUUGGUCCUCCCUAUAUUUGAUUCACAGUUCAUGGGAAUGCAAAGGGGUAGUAAGGGGAUUAUAGUAGAAUGGGAGGUGGACUGGUUAGGGAUCUUAGAGACAGGAAAUUGGAAAAGGAAUAACAUUUGUAAUGUAAAUAUAGAAAUAUCAAAUUUAAAAAAGCUAUAUAUUUUGCUAAAAAAGAAAAAAAUGAAAGAAAUAAAAGAAAAGAAAACUGCCAAUUAAUUACACCCUUUGACUCAGAAAUCUAAAGGGUCACUGUCAGGGAAUGAUAGUCAGAGUAAUACUAGUUCAAAGAUGAAGAUGGUGAAAUCUCAAAUAGAAGCAAUUUUCUCUCCCAGAUAUCAGUGUCAGACACAAUCUGCACUCUAGGAAUCCAAAGCACGGAGUAAUUUACUCUGAGCUGAGGACACAAUACUUGUCUUUCCCUUCUUCCUUAGGACCAAAACCAUCAGCUUUAAAGAAAACUGUGCCCUUCCCAACACUUGGCUUUGGAAAAAAGACAUGAAUGAUAUAAAUUCUCCGACUUCCAGGAACCAUAACUAGCAGGGAAGUCCAGAUGCAUCUGAGAGGCUCCCAUCUCCUGAUUACCAUAUUUGGAAGGCUCCAAUCAAUACUAUCUUUUCAGCAAACCUUCUCAACCACUACCCAGAAAUGACUGAGAUUUCCCAUGGACCACAUAUUUCUUUUUUUUUAUAACAAAGCAGAAGGCCAGCUUCCUUCUUCCCAUCUUUGAUCACUUCAUCCUCUUUUUUCUCCUUCCCAAAGGCUGUUUAUGCUGAAUUAGAGGCCAAAUAGUAAACCCUAGAGGUACUGAAGGACUACUGGAGAGGCAACUUCUGUCAGGACAACACUUGUUACAUCACAGAAGAAACUAGGGAUCUCCAGGAUACAACAGAUUUUUUUAGAUAGGCCUAAUGGUGAUGUCACUGAGAAUUGCCAUGGCCUACCUGCUAAAGUGUUUUCCUUUCAAUGACCAGAUUCGAGGGUGCCCUUGCAAGGUUUGUCUCCUGUGAAACAAUGGAAACCUUUUCAUACUACAUGUCUUUAAAGCUAGAAAUUUCUCUUUAUUUCCUUAGUGGUUACAUGCUCUGAAAGGAAAAGAUAAUCAGGAGCUUUGCAUGGGUAGAAAAGAUCUCGGAACAUGGAGUGGAAGAGAUUCCUCUGGAUAAUAAUUUUAUUACCAGGUCCAUUACUAUGACAUACAGUUCAAUAUCCUAGGUUAUCUCUGUUUCCCAAAGGCCAGCAUUUUCCCUACAAUCCUUUAAUUGAAUUCAUAUUUCAUUACAGUUUCUCAUUGUACAUUCCUUGAUAGGUGACUUUAUAUAUUCCUGAAUGUGAAGUGAAAAAUUCUGUUUUCCAAUUUCAUGUUUUUUUGCAAUGAUUUUGGCAACCCAAGGGUCCCACCUAACGUUGAAUAUAAAAAUGUAAAUAUUAUGUACCUACUUCCAAUGAUGAACUUCCAAAUCCUUAGUUUAUCCAAAAAUUUCCAGACAUCAGAAAAGCUAAGGAAAACAUGAAAUAUAGAAUAUGGUUCAGUAGUCUCAUUAGACAUCAGUUCUUUAAUAUCUAACUUCCUGUUCCUCUAGGACCAGACGUGAAGGUUUUCGAGGUUUUACCAUGGUUGUUACUUCAGGACAAACAUAAAAUUCAGGAGGAUGUUCAGGGAGAUGAAUGGCUUAAUGUCCAGGGAAACUUCAACUUCAAUAGGUUCAUAAGAACAAGAGGGAGGUGUUUGGAAUUGCCAUUUGUGGAUUCUACAUUCUUGACCUAGGUGUACAUAAUCCAUGUGAAAAUUCCACCUAACCUCAUAGCUGUAGGAGCCACCAAAUGUAUAGUUGGAACCAGAUGUACAUCUUUCCUGAGAGACACAGCUUGAGCAAGUCAAAUACAGAAGAGAAUGCUACUGGCAAACCAGUGAACCAAAAAUGGAUCUCUUGUUGGUAGUUUUUGAGAAAGAAUUACAAGAGCUUAAGGGGAUUUCAAUUCCAUAAGAACAACAAUGCCAGUGAACCAGAGCUUUCUGGUACUAAACCAAUAUUCAAAGACUGUACUUGGACAGACCUAUGUGUCCAACUGCAUAUGUAGCAGUGGAUGGCCUUGUUGGGAACCAAUGGAAGGAGAAGUUCCUGGUCCAACCUAGGUUUAACUCUCAGUUCAAGGUAAUAUCAAGGUUCACUAAGGUAGGUUAUAGAAGAAUGUUAGGUGGACUAGUUACGGGUCUUAUGGACAUGAAACUGGGAAAGAAAAUCAAAUUUGAAAUUCAAAUAUAGAAAUAUCCAAAUAAAAAAAGCAAUAAAAUUUGCUAAAAAUUAAAAAAAAAUGAAAUAAAUUAAAGAAAAGACAUCUGUCAGCUAAUUACACAUAUUGACUCAGAAAUCUAAAGGGUAACUAUCAGGAAAUGGUAAUCAGAGUAAUACUAGUGGAAAGACUGAGAUGAUGAAGUCUCAACUAGAAGCUCUUCUCUCCCAAAUAUCAGUGUCAGACACAAACUGCACUAUAGGUAUCCAAAGCAUGGAGGCGUUUACACUGAGCUGAGGAGACAAUACUUGUCUAUCCUUUGUUUCUUCGGACCUUUUUCUUCAGGGCAAAAAGAGUGAAAGCCAUGAGCUCUCACUAGAACAACUGUGCCCUUCCCAACAACUGACUUUUGGAAUGAAGAAAAUGAUUAUAUAAACUCUCUGAAUUCCAGAAACCAUAUCAAGCAGGGAAGUCCAGAUGAUAAUGAGAGAAUCCCAGCUCUGGAUUCCCAUGUGUGUAAGGCUCAGAUCAAGGCUAUCUCUUCAGAUACAACACUCAACGCCUACCCAAGACUCACUGAGCUUUCCCAUGGACCAUUUAUUUCUUCCUUUUUUUAUACAAAGAGAGAAGGCCAGCUUCCUUCUCUUUUAUCUCCCUAACAAAUGGCUGUUUAGCCAGAAUAAGAGGUCAAUGAGUUAACCCUAGAGGUCCUCAAAGAAUAUCCAAGAGGCAGUUGCUGUCACCAUGACACUUGUGACAUCACAAAAAAGCUAGAGCUCUUCAGGAUACAAGAGAUAUUUCAGGGAGGACCUAAUGAUGAUGUCACUGAGAACUGCCAUGAUCUAACUGUUGAACAGCUUUCUUUACAUUGACCAGAUUUGAGGGUUCCCUUUCCAAGAGUGUCUCUUGUGACACACUGGAAACCUUUAAAUACUAUAUAUCUCUAAUGCUGGAGACUUCUCUUUGCUUCAUUAGUACGUACAUGUUCGGAAUAGAGAAUGUUGGUCAGGGGCUUGGCAUGGGUAUAAAGAUCUAGGAACAUGGGGUGAAGGAGAUUAUUCUGGAUAAUAAUUCCACUCCCAGUUCCAUUCCUGUGACAUACAGUUCAAGUUCCUAGGUUUUCUCUGUUUCCCAAAGUCCAAUAUUUUCCUUCCAGACAUUUAGGUGAAUGAAUAUUGUAUUACAUUUUUUUAUUGUACAUUCUUUGAAAGGAGACUUUAUAUAUAUUACUGAAUGUGUACUCAAAUAUUCUGUUUUCCAAUUUUAAUUUUUGCAAUAAUAUUGGCAACAAAGUUGGCCCAGCUAAAGCAUGAAUAUAACAGUAUAAAUAUUGUAUACCUACUUCAAAUGAUAAUCUCUCAAAUCCUUAAUUUAAGCAAAAAUUACCAGCCAUCAGUAAAGCAAAGGACAAUAUGGACUUUAGAAUGCGGUUCAGAUUUUCUUUUAGGCUUGAAAAAUUUUGCGAAGAAGGUUUUGUGGGUGUAUUUGUGUCUUUAUCCCUCCAUUGCUGGUCUUUCCAGUCAAUGGGAUUUGGCCUCUUAAUGUUUCAUAUCACCAAUGUACGUCACAGCUUAGGUCACCCCAUUGAUUCGUGGGUACCUCCAUUAUACCAGGUCUCUUUCUCUUCCUGGAGGUUUCUCCCACCUCCUCAUCUCUUAAAGUUCAAGAUUUCCUUUCUUUCUCAUGACUAUCGGGUCCUAUCUCCUGUCCCUUCACACACAGGAUCCAUUCUCCUCUUCCUUCCAUCUCUCAUCUAGUUCCUUUCCUCAAUCGGCCUCCUAGACUAUUUUAUUCCCCAUUCUAAGUGAGAGUCAAUCUUAUGCACUUUGGCCAUUCUUCUUGUUUAUCUUCUUUGUACCUUUAAGCUUUGUGGAGGAUGUCCUGUAGUUUAUGGAUAAUAUUACUUAUAAUUGAGCAAUUUCAACAACCCUCUUGAUCAUAUUUUACAGUAGUAUGUUAAAAUUGAAAAUUAUAAUUUAGUAUGAGUGAAUGUCAUGAGGACCAAAUUUAAGUAAAAAGAAACUUAAAACAAGAUCAAAUCACAGAUUUUAAAAAUUGACCUAAUAAUAAAAAUUCUCUACUAUCAUAAGGAAUUAUUAUAUCACAGGCAAUUUUUAAGUGGUA